rnacentral:rRNA from 1 species
UCUCUAAGCUAUGGUAGAGACGCGGCAUACGGCUCAGUAACACGUGGCUAACCUACCCUUAGGACGGAGACAACCCCGGGAAACUGGGGCUAAUACCCGAUAGGUGAGGAGGCCUGGAAUGGUUCCUAGUCGAAAAGGCGUUGAAACCAUGCUUUUCGACGUCGCCUAAGGAUGGGGCCGCGCCCGAUCAGGUUGUUGGUGGGGUAACGGCUCACCAAGCCUAUAACCGGUACGGGCCGUGAGAGCGGGAGCCCGGAGAUGGGCACUGAGACAAGGGCCCAGGCCCUACGGGGCGCAGCAGUCGCGAAAACUCCGCAAUGCGCGAAAGCGUGACGGGGCUACCCCGAGUGCCGUCCGCUGAGGAUGGCUUUUCCCCGGUGUAAUGAGCCGGGGGAAUAAGGAGAGGGCAAGUCUGGUGUCAGCCGCCGCGGUAAUACCAGCUCUCCGAGUGGUAGGGAUGAUUAUUGGGCUUAAAGCGUCCGUAGCCGGCUUAGCAAGUCUCCUGUUAAAUUCAGCGACCUAAUCGUUGAGCCGCGGGAGACACUACUAGGCUAGGAGGCGGGAGAGGCCGACGGUAUUCUCGGGGUAGGGGUGAAAUCCUAUAAUCCCGGGAGGACCACCAGUGGCGAAGGCUGUCGGCUAGAACGCGCUCGACGGUGAGGGACGAAAGCUGGGGGAGCGAACCGGAUUAGAUACCCGGGUAGUCCCAGCUGUAAACGAUGCGGGCUAGGUGUUGGGGUGGCUACGAGCCACUUCAGUG